GACGAACGCUGGCGGCGUGCUUAACACAUGCAAGUCGAACGGAAAGGCCCUGCUUUUGUGGGGUGCUCGAGUGGCGAACGGGUGAGUAACACGUGAGUAACCUGCCCUUGACUUUGGGAUAACUUCAGGAAACUGGGGCUAAUACCGGAUAGGAGCUCCUGCUGCAUGGUGGGGGUUGGAAAGUUUCGGCGGUUGGGGAUGGACUCGCGGCUUAUCAGCUUGUUGGUGGGGUAGUGGCUUACCAAGGCUUUGACGGGUAGCCGGCCGGGGAGGGGGGCCGGCCACAAUGGGACUGCGGGAGGGCGCAGACGGCUACAGUAGGCAACAGUGGCAAACAUGCUACAACCAGCGCAAGCCGGAUGCGGCGACGCCGCGUGCGUGAUGACCGCCUUCGGGUAAUAAAACGCAGUCGCCUAUUACCAAGCUUGAGUGACGGUAAUGAGUAAAGAAGCACCGGCUAACUACGUG
rnacentral:rRNA from 1 species